UACGGAGGAUCCAAGCGUUAUCCGGAUUUAUUGGGUUUAAAGGGUGCGUAGGUGGCCUGUUAAGUCAGGGGUGAAAGACGGUAGCUCAACUAUCGCAGUGCCUUUGAUACUGAUGGGCUUGAAUACACUUGAGGUAGGCGGAAUGUGACAAGUAGCGGUGAAAUGCAUAGAUAUGUCACAGAACACCAAUUGCGAAGGCAGCUUACUAAAGUGUGAUUGACGCUGAGGCACGAAAGCGUGGGGAUCAAACAGG
rnacentral:rRNA from 1 species